UACAGAGACUGCAAGCGUUAUUCGGAUUCACUGGGCGUAAAGGGUGCGCAGGCGGUUGGGUGUGUCAGGGGUGAAAGCCCGGGGCUUAACCCCGGAAUUGCGCCUGAAACUACAUGACUAGAGCAUUGGAGAGGGUAGCGGAAUUCACGGUGUAGCAGUGAAAUGCGUAGAUAUCGUGAGGAACACCAGAGGCGAAGGCGGCUACCUGGACAAUUGCUGACGCUCAGGCACGAAAGCGUGGGGAGCAAAAGGG
rnacentral:rRNA from 1 species